UACAGAGGUGGCAAGCGUUGUUCGGAAUUACUGGGCGUAAAGGGCUCGUAGGCGGCCAACUAAGUCGGACGUGAAAUCCCCAGGCUCAACCUGGGAACUGCGUCCGAUACUGGAUGGCUUGAAUCCGGGAGAGGGGUGCAGAAUUCCAGGUGUAGCGGUGAAAUGCGUAGAUAUCUGGAGGAAUACCGGUGGCGAAGGCGGCAUCCUGGACCGGCAUUGACGCUGAGGAGCGAAAGCCAGGGGAGCAAACGGGG
rnacentral:rRNA from 1 species